CGCCUCACUGCCGCUGUGACCUGCCCAGUGUUUUCUAGCAGGGAUACGGCUAUGGGCAGUCAAGAAAGGCGCUGUGGGUCUCCAGGAUGAAGCUGCAGUGCUGGAGUUUACCCACAGCCAGGGCCAAGCAGCAGAAACAACCAGGGUGUGGCAACUAAGGGACUGGAAUACACAUUUGCUUGGAGUCUAAUAGAAUUGGCUUCAUAGGAAAACCUCGCCCCUUCCAGCUCCUCCUCCUUUGAAGCAAUCUGAGCCUCAAGUUCCUGUAAAUAAAUAAGAUCUGCCUGGCAGCAUUGUUAUGAGGACUAACAGAUAAGGGCAGCGAAUUUGGGUUUGAACUCCCAAAACUGUGGGUUGCUGCUUAAAUCCUGGCAGUGAAGGUGAUGGAGACAAAGGGUAACCAUUACUCAAGACAACCCACCCACACAAAAAUACAACAACACACAAAGAACUGGCCAACUCAAUGGCCAGAAACAAAGAUACUCAUUUUCAUAUCUUAAGAGACCCAACUCCAAUGCAAAGCCUCACUUUCAGAGCCUGAUUUGAACUGUUGCAUUUUCUUGCAUGAAUCUCAGAAGUUUCUGUAUGUGUGGAGAUUAAACCUUUGGUUUCACGACAGAGUAUCC
rnacentral:lncRNA from 1 species